rnacentral:lncRNA from 13 species
UGCAACUUUACUGAAUUCAUUUAGUAGUUCUAAUAGUUUUUUGCUGAAGUCUUUACAUUUCUUUAAAUAUAAUAAGAUUAUGUCAUCUGCAAGCAAGAAUAAUUUGAGUUUGAAUGCUCUUCAUUUCUUUCUCUUGUUGAUUGAUCUAGGUAGGACUUACAGGACUACGUUGAAUAAUGAUGGUAAAAAUGAGCAUUCUUUUUGUGUUUCAGAUCUUAGAGGAGAGGCUUUCACUUUGUUGCCAUUCACUGUGAUACUAGCUGUGGGUCUGUCAUGUGUGCCAUUUAUUGUGUUGAGAUGUCUCAUGUCUACUUAACCAGGCUGGAAGAGGGAAGGAGACAGGAAUCAUGCCCACUAAUGCUCCUCUCUACACAGGAAUAUGGAACCUGCAAACAGACAAAAAAGUUAAACACUUCCAAUCCAGAGAUGCCUCUGCAUUUACAACUCACUACAAAGAAGAUAGCUUCAGUUUUCCACAGGGAAGCAGAUUUACUACAAAAUAGUAAGUAGAAACAACUCCUUAUACAACUCUUUUUCUAAGAAAGGUAAUCAGAUAAUCAGAGGGUAGAAAAGUACCACUCAGAAAGCAAAAUGGAAUAGACCAAUUAUUCUAAAGAUAAAGGUGGUGGUUGCAAGCCACUUCCAAACAAGUGACAAACAAGUGUUGAAAAUAUGCCUACCGUUAUGAUCUAACCAUUCCGCUCCAUGGUAUUUACCCAAGCAAAAAGAAAGCCUAUAUUUAUACAAAGAUUUUAAUAUUCAGAGCAGGUUUGUGAUUAUGAAAAAUUGGAAACAACCCAAGUGUCCAUCAAGAGGCAAAUAGGUACACAAAUCUUAGUAUAUACAUACAUUGUAAUCCUACAGAAAUAAAAAGGAAUGAAC